ACACUCUAGACCCACUGCCAGAUAUCGUGUACUUCCAUCGUCUUUUUCUAUGGAAAUCCGGGCAGGGGGUCUAAUUGAGACAAUAUCUCUUUUUCCCAACCUUACUUUCGAGUGGGGU